UAUACCGUGAAACUGCGAAUGGCUCAUUAAAUCAGUUAUCGUUUAUUUGAUAAUACCUUACUACUUGGAUAACCGUGGUAAUUCUAGAGCUAAUACAUGCUGAAAAUCCCGACUUCGGAAGGGAUGUGUUUAUUAGAUAAAAAACCAAUGCCCUUCGGGGCUCUUUGGUGAUUCAUGAUAACUUUACGGAUCGCAUAGCCUUGCGCUGGCGACGGUUCAUUCAAAUUUCUGCCCUAUCAACUUUCGAUGGUAAGGUAUUGGCUUACCAUGGUUUCAACGGGUAACGGGGAAUUAGGGUUCGAUUCCGGAGAGGGAGCCUGAGAAACGGCUACCACAUCCAAGGAAGGCAGCAGGCGCGCAAAUUACCCAAUCCCGACACGGGGAGGUAGUGACAAUAAAUACUGAUACAGGGCUCUUUUGGGUCUUGUAAUUGGAAUGAGUACAAUUUAAACCUCUUAACGAGGAACAAUUGGAGGGCAAGUCUGGUGCCAGCAGCCGCGGUAAUUCCAGCUCCAAUAGCGUAUAUUAAAGUUGUUGCAGUUAAAAAGCUCGUAGUUGAAACUUGGGCCUGGCUGGCGGGUCCGCCUCACCGCGUGCACUCGUCCGGCCGGGCCUUCCUUCUGAAGAACCUCAUGCCCUUCACUGGGCGUGUUGGGGAAUCAGGACUUUUACUUUGAAAAAAUUAGAGUGUUCAAAGCAGGCCUUUGCUCGAAUACGUUAGCAUGGAAUAAUAAAAUAGGGCGUGCGUUUCUAUUUUGUUGGUUUCUAGAGACGCCGCAAUGAUUAACAGGAACAGUCGGGGGCAUCAGUAUUCAGUUGUCAGAGGUGAAAUUCUUGGAUUUACUGAAGACUAACUACUGCGAAAGCAUUUGCCAAGGAUGUUUUCAUUAAUCAGUGAACGAAAGUUAGGGGAUCGAAGACGAUCAGAUACCGUCGUAGUCUUAACCGUAAACUAUGCCGACUAGGGAUCGGGCGAUGUUCUUUUUCUGACUCGCUCGGCACCUUACGAGAAAUCAAAGUU
rnacentral:rRNA from 2 species